rnacentral:tRNA from 1 species
GGGAAUAUAGCUCAGUUGUAGAGCAUGCUUGCCUAGCAUGCAAAUGACCCUGGUUUCAAUCCCCAGUACCA